CAUUCGUUCAUCUUUGUUUGAAAGAAAGAAAGAAAGAAAGAGUUGAAUUAAGUAAGAAAACCAAAAGAAAUUAAGAGAAAUCUAGAGAGAGAAACAAAAACUAGAAAAACAGAGGGAGUAUGCGUGUGUUUCUAUUGAGAGAAAUUCGACCUUAUUUGGCCUCCAAGUAAGCUCCUCUCCUUUCUGAUACCCUAUUCCUUCUUUCUUUAGCUUUUAUCAGUUCUUCUUUAGGGAAUUAAACUCCCAUAACACUGUAGCAAACACCAAAAAGAGGCGUUCUUCUCUUCUGCACUAGAAACGACUCUAUUUUCGGUAAGCUUCUAUUCUUUUCAUAAGUAGAGCUUCUAG
rnacentral:lncRNA from 1 species